UACGUAGGUGGCAAGCGUUGUCCGGAAUUAUUGGGCGUAAAGCGCGCGCAGGCGGUCCCUUAAGUCUGAUGUGAAAGCCCACGGCUCAACCGUGGAGGGUCAUUGGAAACUGGGGGACUUGAGUGCAGGAGAGAAGAGUGGAAUUCCACGUGUAGCGGUGAAAUGCGUAGAGAUGUGGAGGAACACCAGUGGCGAAGGCGACUCUGUGGCCUGUAACUGACGCUGAGGCGCGAAAGCGUGGGGAGCAAACAGG
rnacentral:rRNA from 1 species